rnacentral:lncRNA from 1 species
GGGCAUCUGCCCCCAACUCAUUUUAAAACAUUUGACUAAUUUUAAAUAUGCUCUUAUGUUUUUAACAAAUCUAUCCUUAGUUCUAUGAACAAUUUUAAUUGUGCCUUUACAAAAAAAAAAUUAUAGCUCCGCCCCUGAUCAUUUGCGUGUCGUCAAACUGAUUGAAAUAAUUAUUUACAUUUAUGAUAUUUUUUAUCAUCUGUUUCAUUUAUAAACGAAAGCUGAAAACAAACAAAAAAGCCUAAAAAAGGCCAGCAAAUAAAAAAAGUCAAAGGCCCAAACAAGCAAACCAAAAAGAAGUGUAAUGAAAGAUGGUGGUCUAGCUCAAGCUCAUCCACACGUUGAGAUGCUAGCGAGGAUGGGACACGUACCCGAGAAUUGAACCGCCA